CAAGUGGGUCAGGGCCGGAAGGAA
rnacentral:SRP_RNA from 1 species